rnacentral:tRNA from 1 species
CCACUUCUCAGUUAAUAAAGCACAAGGCUCUUAACCUUGUGGGCGUGGGUUCAAGCCCCAUGAUGGGGG